UACAGAGAUGGCAGGCGUUGUUCGGAAUUACUGGGCGUAAAGGGCGAGUAGGUGGCCAUCUAAGUCAGACGUGAAAUCCCCCGGCUUAACCUGGGAACUGCGUCUGAUACUGGACGGCUUGAGUAUGGGAGAGGAACGUAGAAUUCCAGGUGUAGCGGUGAAAUGCGUAGAUAUCUGGAGGAAUACCGGUGGCGAAGGCGGCGUUCUGGACCAUUACUGACGCUGAGAAGCGAAAGCGUGGGGAGCGAACAGG
rnacentral:rRNA from 1 species